rnacentral:rRNA from 1 species
UCGAGAAUUUUUCACAAUGGGCGCAAGCCUGAUGGAGCGACGCCGCGUGGGGGAUGAAUGGCUUCGGCCCGUAAACCCCUGUCAUUCGCGAGCAAUUGUUGCGACCUAACACGUCGCAGCUUGAUAGUAGCGGAAGAGGAAGGGACGGCUAACUCUGUGCCAGCAGCCGCGGUAAUACAGAGGUCCCAAGCGUUGUUCGGAUUCACUGGGCGUAAAGGGUGCGUAGGCGGUCGGGCAAGUCUGAUGUGAAAGCCCCGAGCUCAACUCGGAAAUGGCAUCGGAAACUGCUUGGCUAGAGGAGUGGAGGGGGGAUUGGAAUUCUCGGUGUAGCAGUGAAAUGCGUAGAUAUCGAGAGGAACACCCGUGGCGAAGGCAAAUCCCUGGACACCUCCUGACGCUGAGGCACGAAAGCUAGGGGAGCAAACAGG